rnacentral:rRNA from 1 species
AUUGAACGCUGGCGGCAUGCUUUACACAUGCAAGUCGAGCGGUAACAGGCCUUCGGGUGCUGACGAGUGGCGAACGGGUGAGUAAUGCAUCGGAACGUACCCAGAGGUGGGGGAUAACGCAGCGAAAGCUGUGCUAAUACCGCAUGUGAUCUGAGGAUGAAGGCGGGGGACCGAGCAGCAAUGUUUGGCCUCGCGCCUUUGGAGCGGCCGAUGUCGGAUUAGCUAGUUGGUGGGGUAAAGGCCUACCAAGGCGACGAUCCGUAGCUGGUCUGAGAGGACGACCAGCCACACUGGGACUGAGACACGGCCCAGACUCCUACGGGAGGCAGCAGUGGGGAAUUUUGGACAAUGGGCGCAAGCCUGAUCCAGCAAUGCCGCGUGCGGGAAGAAGGCCUUCGGGUUGUAAACCGCUUUUGGCAGGAACGAAACGGUGUCCGCUAAUACCGGGCGCUAAUGACGGUACCUGCAGAAUAAGCACCGGCUAACUACGUG